GUCAAUCUGCUCAAUGAAAUUUUAAAUAGCUGCAGUAUAUUGACUGUACAAAGGUAGCAUAAUAAUUUGUCUUUUAAUUGGAGAAUGGAAUGAAAGAAUUAAUGAAAUAUAAACUGUCUCUAUUAUAUAAAAUAAAAUUAAAUUUUUAGUUAAAAUGCUAAAAUAAUAUUAUGGGACGAUAAGACCCUAUAGAAUUUUAUAUUAUUAUAAUAAUAUUUAAUUGAUUUAAUUUUUUAUUAUUAAAAUAAUAUUUGAUUGGGAGGAUUAAUAAAUUUAAUUAACUUUAUUAUAAUUUAAACUUUGAUUUAAGAAACUUUAAAUUGAUAGAUUAAUAUUAAUUAAUAAAUUAAAUUACCUUAGGGAUAACAGCGUAAUAUCUUUUAUUAGCACUUAUUGAUAAAGAUGUUUGCGACCUCGAUGUUGAAUUAAGAUAAAUUUUAAAUGAAGAAAUUUAAUUAUUAAGUCUG
rnacentral:rRNA from 1 species